rnacentral:rRNA from 1 species
UACAUGCAAGUCGAGCGCGGGAAGCAAGCGGAUCCCCUUCGGGGGUGACGCUUGUGGAACGAGCGGCGGACGGGUGAGUAACACGUGGGCAACCUGCCUGUAAGACUGGGAUAACCCCGGGAAACCGGGGCUAAUACCGGAUAACACUGGACUCCACAUGGAGGCUAGUUGAAAGAUGGCUUCUUGCUAUCACUUACAGAUGGGCCCGCGGCGCAUUAGCUAGUUGGUGAGGUAACGGCUCACCAAGGCGACGAUGCGUAGCCGACCUGAGAGGGUGAUCGGCCACACUGGNGACUGAGACNACGUCCCAGACUCCUACGGGAGGCAGCAGUAGGGAAUCUUCCGCAAUGGACGAAAGUCUGACGGAGCAACGCCGCGUGAACCGAUGAAGGUCUUCGGAUCGUAAAGUUCUGUUGUCAGGGAMGAACAAGUGCCGUGCGAAUAGAGCGGCACCUUGACGGUACCUGACGAGGAAGCCCCGGCUAACUACGUGCCAGCAGCCGCGGUAAUACGUAGGGGGCAAGCGUUGUCCGGAAUUAUUGGGCGUAAAGCGCGCGCAGGCGGUUCCUUAAGUCUGAUGUGAAAGCCCACGGCUCAACCGUGGAGGGUCAUUGGAAACUGGGGAACUUGAGUACAGAAGAGGAGAGUGGAAUUCCACGUGUAGCGGUGAAAUGCGUAGAUAUGUGGAGGAACACCAGUGGCGAAGGCGACUCUCUGGUCUGUAACUGACGCUGAGGCGCGAAAGCGUGGGGAGCAAACAGGAUUAGAUACCSUGGUAGUCCACGCCGUAAACGAUGAGUGYUAGGUGUUAGGGGGCUUCCACCCCUUAGUGCUGAAGUUAACGCAUUAAAGCACUCCGCCUGGGGAGUACGGCCCGCAAGGCUGAAACUCAAAGGAAUUGACGGGGGCCCGCACAAGCGGUGGAGCAUGUGGUUUAAUUCGAAGCAACGCGAAGAACCUUACCAGGUCUUGACAUCUUCGGACAACCCUGGAGACAGGGCGUUCCCUUCGGGGACCGAAUGACAGGUGGUGCAUGGUUGUCGUCAGCUCGUGUCGUGAGAUGUUGGGUUAAGUCCCGCAACGAGCGCAACCCUUGACCUUAGUUGCMAGCAUUCAGUUGGGCACUCUAAGGUGACUGCCGGUGACAAACCGGAGGAAGGCGGGGAUGACGUCAAAUCAUCAUGCCCCUUAUGACUUGGGCUACACACGUGU